CCUACGGGAGGCAGCAGUGGGGGAUAUUGCACAAUGGGGGGAACCCUGAUGCAGCGACGCCGCGUGGGUGAAGAAGCGCCUCGGCGCGUAAAGCCCUGUCAGCAGGGAAGAAAAUGACGGUACCUGAAGAAGAAGCCCCGGCUAACUACGUGCCAGCAGCCGCGGUAAUACGUAGGGGGCAAGCGUUAUCCGGAUUUACUGGGUGUAAAGGGGGCGCAGACGGCGAUGCAAGCCAGGAGUGAAAGCCCGGGGCCCAACCCCGGGACUGCUCUUGGAACUGCGUGGCUGGAGUGCAGGAGGGGCAGGCGGAAUUCCUGGUGUAGCGGUGAAAUGCGUAAAUAUAUGUAAGAACACCAGUGGCGAAGGCGGCUUGCUGGGUCGAUACUGACAUUGAGGCACGAAAGCGUGGGGAGCAAACAGGAUUAGAUAACCUUGUAGUC
rnacentral:rRNA from 1 species